rnacentral:tRNA from 1 species
GCCCGGGUGGUGAAAUUGGUAGACACAAGGGACUUAAAAUCCCUCGGCGCAAGCCAUACCGGUUCAAGUCCGGUCCCGGGCACCA